rnacentral:SRP_RNA from 1 species
GCUGGGCACGCUGGUGCGUGCUUGUAGUCCCAGCUAUUCGGGAGGCUAAGGCUGGAGGAUCUCUUGAGUCCAGGAGUUCUGGGCUGUAGUGCGCUAUGCCGAUCACGUGUCUGCACUAAGUUCGGCAUCAAUAUGGUGAUCUCCCGGGAGCGGGGGACCACCAGGUUGCCUAAGGAGGGGUGAACCGGCCCAGGUCAGAAACGGAGCAGAUUAAAACUCCCAUGCUGAUCAGUAAAAUAAGAAUCACUUACUAUGGACCAAGCCCUGUCAAAAGCACUUCAUCAGUAUUGU